rnacentral:lncRNA from 1 species
GGGAAAACGGCGGGGUGGGCGUGGCUUGGCGCGCGGGGGGGGGCGGAGUCACCGGCAGGGCGUGGCCGCAAUUAAUAAAUAUUGAUUAACAACCAAUUAAUCGAUCAGGGCGUGGCUUUAUCGAUUAGAAGGGGCGCGGCUUUCCCGCUGCGCGGCCAAUCAGCGCCGCGCCCGCGCCGUUGCCAUGACAACGCCCUGCCAUCAUGGCGCCGCGGCCGCGCCGGCUGCUGAUUGGUUCUCCCUCCUCUUGGCGGGCGUGUCCCGACCAAUCAGCGCUCCGCUUUUCCGUGAGGGGGAUCCGCGCCAUUUUGCGGCAGGGCGGGAAAACCGCGGUGGGCGUGGCUUCGCUUAGAAAAAAGGAGGAAAGGGGCGUGGCUUUUGCUCCGCCCAAUCAGCGCACGCCGCGGGCGCGCCGCACCCAAUCAGCGCCCGCCUUUUGGCCACGCCCACCUAUAUUGAAGCCCCGCCCACCUCCCCCUCACUCCGCGCCCCCCUUUCCCCUCAGCGCCCCCCGCCCCUCCCCCACCGCAGCCCCCUCCCCUCCCCCACCCCUCCCCCACCCCUCCCCCACCCCUCCCCCUCCUCCUCCUCCUCCCGGCCGCGGCUCCGGUCGCGAUUCUGUCGCGACAGUGGCGAGAUGGACCCCGCGAACUGGAGCAGCUUCAUCUUCCAGGUGGGGGAGGGGCGGGGGGAAGGGUGGGGGGGGAUGGGGGGAGGGGGAGGGGCUGGAGGGUGGGGGAGGGGGAGGGAGGCUCGGACUGGGAGCACUGGGAGGGACUGGGAGGGACUGGGAGGGACUGGGGGGUGGGGGCGGGGGAGGGGGGUGAACUGGGAGCGCUGGGGGGUGGCACUGGUGAAACUGGGAGCACUGGGGACUGUACUGGGAGCACUGGGAGCUGUUACUGGUGGUACUGGGAGCUGUACUGGGAGCACUGGGGGGUGGUACUGGGAGCACUGGGGGAUGGUACUGGUGGUACUGGGAGCUGUUACUGGUGUUACUGGGAGCACUGGGAGCUACUACUGGUGGUACUGGGAGCACUGGGAACUGUUACUGGGAGCACUGGGGGGUGGUACUGGGAGCACUGGGGGUGGUACUGGUGGUACUGGUGGCACUGGGAGCUGUACUGGGAACACUGGGGGGUGGCACUGGUGUCACUGGUGGGUGGUACUGGUGGUACUGGUGGCACUGGGAGCUGUUACUGGUGUUAUUGGGAGCACUGGGGGGUGGCACUGGUGUUACUGGUGGCACUGGUGGUACUGGGAGCUGUACUGGGAACACUGGGGGGUGGCACUGGUGUCACUGGUGGGUGGUACUGGUGGUACUGGUGGCACUGGGAGCUGUACUGGGAGCACUGGAGGGUGGUACUGGUGGUACUGGUGUCACUGGGAGCGAUGGGGAUACCAGUGUGGCUCUGUACUGGGAGCACUGGGAGCUGUUACUGGUGUUACUGGUGAUACUGGGAGCACUGGGAGCUGUUACUGGGAGCACUGGGAGCUGUUACUGGUGUUACUGGGAGCACUGGGAGCACUGGGAGCGAUGGGGACACCGGUGUGGCUUUAUACUGGGAGCACUGGGAGCACUGGGAGCUGUUACUGGUGGCACUGGGAGCACUGGGAGCUGUUACUGGUGUUACUGGGAGCACUGGGAGCGAUGGGGACACCAGUGUGGCUCUGUACUGGGAGCACUGGGAGCCGUUACUGGUGUUACUGGUGUCACUGGGAGCUGUUACUGGGAGCACUGGGAGCUGUUACUGGUGUCACUGGGAGCACUGGGAGUCGUUACUGGUGUUACUGGGAGCACUGGGGACACCCGCUUGGCUCCCGUUACUGGUUUAUACUGGUCCAUACUGGUUUUACUGGUCUGUUACCGGCCCAUACUGGUCCAUACUGGUUUUACUGGUCUGUACUGGUCUAUCGCUGGUUUUACUGGUCCGUACGGCUCCUUACUGGUCUAAACUGGUCCCUACUGGUUUAUACUGGUCCAUAGUGACCCACACCAGUACUAAACCAGUCCAAACCUGUUUAUACUGGUUUAUACUGGUCCGAACACGUUUAUACUGGUUUAUACUGGUCCAUACUGGUUCAUACUGGUUUAUACUGGUCCAUAGUGACCCACACCAGUCUAAACCAGUCCAAACCAGUUCGUACUGGUUUAUACCGGUCCAAACCAGCUUAUACUGGUUUAUACUGGUCCACACCAGUUUAUACUGGUUUAUACUGGUCCAAACCGGUUUAUACUGGUCCAAACCAGUUCAUACUGGUUUAUACUGGUCCAAACCAGUUUAUACUGGUUUAUACUGGUCCAAAC